CUGAGUUUUGUCUCUGAGUCCAUUCAGUCAAGUGAAUCUCCUGUUUCUGGAAUUAUCAAGAAGACUACAGAAAAUUAUAGGAGUGACUCCGAAAUGCUAUGGAAGAGAUUCCUGCAUUGUCAUGCAUAAAGGCAGAUAUGAGACCUGAAACUGGGGCAGCCAUUGCGAGACCCUGAUGACAGCCAGCCCAAUGGCAAUGCAGACACACACAGCAUGGUGGCAUGAGAUCAUGUCCUAAGAAAUGAGAGAAUUUGAUGUCAUCGUGUGCUGCAGUCAGCCAGCCUUGGAACUCACCAUACCUCUGGACUGCUUGAUAGGUGGAGCAGAAGCUGCAGCUUUACACCUAUGCUUCAGCCUGCGCUGGCCACAGCAGAGAUGACAAGAGACUCGAAGGAGUUUUGUGGAUAGGAACACGAACUAUCUCAAGAGUGACCAGUGUAUACUUAUGGCUGAG
rnacentral:lncRNA from 10 species